rnacentral:rRNA from 1 species
AUUGAACGCUGGCGGCAGGCCUAACACAUGCAAGUCGAACGAGUGGCGGACGGGUGAGUAAUGUCUGGGAAACUGCCUGAUGGAGGGGGGUAACUACUGGAAAAGGUAGCUAAUACCGCAUACCAUCAGAUGUGCCCAGAUGGGAUUAGCUAGUUGGUGGGGUAACGGCUAACCAAGGCGACGAUCCCUAGCUGGUCUGAGAGGAUGACGGGCCACACUGGAACUGAGACACGGUCCAGACUCCUACGGGAGGCAGCAGUGGGGAAUAUUGCACAAGGGGCGAAAGCCGGAUGAAGCCAGGCCGGGUGGAUGAAGAAGGCCUUCGGGUUGUAAAGUACUUUCAGCGGGGAGGCGUUACCCGCAGAAGAAGCACCGGCUAACUCUGUGCCAGCAGCCGCGGUAAUUC